CCCGCAAGGGGAGCGGCAGACGGGUGAGUAACGCGUGGGAAUCUACCCAGCUCUACGGAAUAACCCAGGGAAACUUGGACUAAUACCGUAUACGUCCUUCGGGAGAAAGAUUUAUCGGAGUUGGAUGAGCCCGCGUUGGAUUAGCUAGUUGGUGGGGUAAAGGCCUACCAAGGCGACGAUCCAUAGCUGGUCUGAGAGGAUGAUCAGCCACACUGGGACUGAGACACGGCCCAGACUCCUACGGGAGGCAGCAGUGGGGAAUAUUGGACAAUGGGCGCAAGCCUGAUCCAGCCAUGCCGCGUGAGUGAUGAAGGCCCUAGGGUUGUAAAGCUCUUUCAACGGUGAAGAUAAUGACGGUAACCGUAGAAGAAGCCCCGGCUAACUUCGUGCCAGCAGCCGCGGUAAUACGAAGGGGGCUAGCGUUGUUCGGAAUUACUGGGCGUAAAGCGCACGUAGGCGGAUCGAUCAGUUAGGGGUGAAAUCCCAGGGCUCAACCCUGGAACUGCCUCUAAUACUGUCGAUCUGGAGUUCGAGAGAGGUGAGUGGAAUUCCGAGUGUAGAGGUGAAAUUCGUAGAUAUUCGGAGGAACACCAGUGGCGAAGGCGGCUCACUGGCUCGAUACUGACGCUGAGGUGCGAAAGCGUGGGGAGCAAA
rnacentral:rRNA from 1 species